UUUCCGUAGGUGAACCUGCGGAAGGAUCAUUAAUUAUAUAAGGCCACAGGGCAACCUUUCCGACAGCAUCGAGCUUGCUGAAUGAACCCUACUUACCCUUGCUUUUGGCGUAUUCAUUGUUUCCUCGGCAGGCUUUCAUGCCAGUAGGACCCCCUUGUACCCGUUGUAAUUGCAGUAAUCGUCACAAACAACGCAAUCGUCAAAACUUUCAUUAAUGGAUCUAUUGAUGAUGGCCUCGAUGGAGAGCGCAGGAUCUCGUAUGAGCUCAAGUCACAACACUCUGUCCAUACCGGUCUGUAAGGCAGAACCGUAACAAGUUUACCGGAAGUGUACCCGCGGAAGGAUCAUCGAAUAUAUAAGCCCUCGGGGCAAGCGUUCCGGUUGCACCGCGGUUGCCUUGUGACCCGUACCUACCCAUGCUUUUUUCAUACCCACUGUUCUCUCGGCCGGUUUGCCUGCCAGUCGGAAACACUUACACCAAUUGUAAUUGCAGCCAGCUUCUGAAUAAAAGUAAACAUUAAAACUUUCAACAACGGAUCUCUUGGUUCUG
rnacentral:misc_RNA from 1 species